GAUGAACGCUGGCGGCGUGCCUAAUACAUGCAAGUCGAGCGAACAGACGAGGACCUUGCUCCUCUGACGGUAUCGGCGGCCGGGGGAGGAGCACGUGGAUAGCCUACCGAUAAGACUGGGAUAACUUCCGGAAACCGGAGCUAAUACCGGGGAAUAUAUUGAACCUCAUGCUUCAUUAGUGAAGGACAGUUUUUCUUUCACUGAGAGAUGGGCCCGCGCCGCAUUAGCUAGUUGGUAAGGUAACGGCUUACCAAGGCGGCGAUGCGUAGCCGACCUGAGAGGGUGAUCGGCCAUCAUGGAAGUGCGACAAGGCGCCGCCGACUACUGGAGGCGGCAGCAGGGGAUAUUACGCAACAGGGGAAAGAAUGAUGGAGCAACGACGCGGGGUGGAUGAAGGUCUUCGGAGGGUAAAACUCCGCUAUUAGGGGAGAAGAAAUGUGGAAGUAACUAUGCGCGUAUUGACGGUAGCUAGAUAGAAAGCCCCGGCUAACUACGUG
rnacentral:rRNA from 1 species